AUUAUUGGGAGCAGCCCCUGUUUAGGAGCAGCCAGCGCACACCUUACGUGGCGCUAAGGUAAAAGACCAAAAUGUCCCCCUUGUUCCCAGCUUUCCGUUCCCUCUCUCACAUUUGAUUUUCUCUCGUAUUCGCUCCUCUCACCCUUCUCUCGAACAGCAGCUUCUCGUCACCCAUCCCCCCACCAGGUAGCUCAGCCCACUCUCCCCCUCGUGUCGCUCGUCAUCUCCCACAAACUCCCCCUCCCGAAUCUCCUCAUCUCUGUGUCUUCUCCGAUCUCAUCCCUCGAAGCUAGUAGCGGCCGGAACCCUCCCCACAUUCUGGACCUCAGCCCUCCUGAAGAGAUCAGUCCUGAAGCCCUCCCUCAGUCCAUUCGACGCGAAGCCCUCAGUCCAUAUAACCAGAAGCCCUCAGUCCAUUCUUCGCGAAGUCGCCGUCAGUCCAUCGACCCGAAGCAGCCCUCAGUCCACCGAGGCGAGCCCGGCGACAGUCCACCGACGCGAGGGAGGGGGGAGCCCACCGACGCGAAGCCACCCUCAUUCCACCAACAUUGAUCCUUCAAAUCUGUGGGAUGAUUUCGAAUCGGUGAUUCUAGGGUUUGGGCAAUUUUUUUUUUGCAAUUUAUUUUUUGAGUCUAUUUACUUCUAUUAUUUUUUGCUCACUGUAUUUGCUAGAAACUAAUGGCAUUGGGGUGUAGAUGUUGCCGAUGUUGCCUCUCAUGGCAUACAUUUGUGUGUGUAUAAAUUUAUCAAGCACUAACAAAGCAUCUUCUGUCAUUUUCUUUGCAGGAAGUGCAAAUGCUCCAAACAGCCAAAAAAGGGGCUAUUUAUUAAUCGCUAUCCAGGUUAUAAGUUCAAGCUCCUGGAUCACUAGUUAUUAAAAAAACUCCUUCAUCACAUAAUGAAAUUCUUAGGUUAGGCUUGAUAUUUGAACUUUAUUAGAUUUUAAUGGUAUUCAUGAUAAACUAUUAGUUAAUAAAAUACAAGAACAAUUCUACCAACUGUUGGGUCUGAGUAGUUGUGGUUUGCAUAUGUGAGAUGAGUUAAGUAGCACAUACCCAUCUAAACAAUGAUGCAUUUUUAUAUUUGAUUCUGCACAUACUAUUAAGCUGUUAAUAAAAAUCUGUUGAUAAUAAUGUUUAGUUUCUGAGUAUGGGUAGGAUUAAAUAAGCUAUUAGUUUAUGUUUUUUGUUUUACUUUUGUCAAGGUCAAUUACUUUGGGGGGUUCUGAGAAAGAUUUUAAGUUAAUGAGUCCCCCUAUUUUUGUUUCUUCAAAAGAGAACUAAGCUUUCUACCCAAUGGUGUUUUUGAGUCUUCCUAUUUGAGAAGAAAGACUCAUUAUCUGAUGUGUGCCAGCCUGGGCUCGUGCAGGGCUAGACACCUUCCUUUUUAUUCACAUGUCAACAAUGUGCCCUUGGCACAACACAACACAACACCAUUGAAUUAUUAUGAUCUUUGUAACUAAGCUUCAGACGCCAUCUAAUAAAGUUCCUUUUUUAACUAUAUGACACUCGGUGGACAGUUAACUACCUGUAUGGUUGACUUUAUGAAACCAUACAUUUUGACUUAAGUAAUUACUUGAUUCCUGCUCCUUUUAUAGCUGGGAAAAAAUUCUCAAGAAGGCCUGGGUUUACCUUCACAUUUUAUUCCCCUCUCUCGAGUUGCACACCUUCCUGCAGGUCCCCCCGCUGUAACGUAAUGAUGUCUUUAUAAUUUACCACACUUUUAUUGGACAAUUCCCAGUGUCUGCACAUUCUGGAGAGAACCUCAAUAAAACCAGUAGAGUAUAUUGAAUCAGUUAUGUCAGCAUCUCAAUCAUCAUCUUCACUUAAUGAUUUUGUCAUGGAAUCUCCAACCUGUUGGUGUGGUUUGAGGACACCACUAAAGACAUCUCACACGUCGAAAAAUCCUGGAAGGAGAUUUUUCGCUUGCCCAAAUUAUAAAACGGGAGAAGCAAGGUGUGAAUUUUUUGUAUGGGCCGAUAUACUUCAUUUGCUAGAGGAAAAUUUUCGUGCCCGUGAGAGUCAUAAGGCGACAAAUAUUACGUGGAAUGAUGUAUUGCAGCGCGAGUAUGCCAUUCGGAAAAGGGAAGAUAAAGUACGAGCGAUAGCAAAGAACCUGAAAAAGCAAAAGCGAAACCUAUUGUGUUUGUAUUGGGUUCUAACUUUUGUAAUAGUGUUUAUUUGGUUUGUCUAAAUUCCCUGUAAAGUAUCUAGCUGGAAGGAGAUUUUGGGGUUGCAUGGUUCUUUUGAAAUGCACAUGGUUUGAACCAAGACCAUUGUCUGUAAAUUGUACCCAACCGUGUAAUACAGAACUUUUUAC